UACGUAGGGUGCGAGCGUUGCCCGGAUUUAUUGGGCGUAAAGGGCGCGUAGGCGGCCACGCACGUCCGUUGUGAAAUCGCCCGGCUCAACUGGGCGGGGUCAGCGGAUACGGUGUGGCUCGAGCAAGCUAGGGGGCAAUGGAAUUCCCGGUGUAGUGGUGGAAUGCGUAGAUAUCGGGAGGAACACCAGUGGCGAAGGCGGUUGCCUGGAGCUUUGCUGACGCUGAUGCGCGAAAGCGUGGGGAGCAAACAGG
rnacentral:rRNA from 1 species